AGUGAACGCUGGCGGUAGGCCUAACACAUGCAAGUCGAACGGCAGCACAGUAAGAGCUUGCUCUUACGGGUGGCGAGUGGCGGACGGGUGAGGAAUACAUCGGAAUCUACUUUUUCGUGGGGGAUAACGUAGGGAAACUUACGCUAAUACCGCAUACGACCUACGGUUGAAAGCAGGGGAUCUUCGGACCUUGCGCGAUUGAAUGAGCCGAUGUCGGAUUGGCUAGUUGGCGGGGUAAAGGCCCACCAAGGCGACGAUCCGUAGCUGGUCUGAGAGGAUGAGCAGCCACACUGGAACUGAGACACGGUCCAGACUCCUACGGGAGGCAGCAGUGGGGAAUAUUGGACUAUGGGCGCAAGCCUGAUCCAGCCAUACCGCGUGGGUGAAGAAGGCCUUCGGGUUGUAAAGCCCUUUUGUUGGGAAAGAAAAGCAGCAGGUUAAUACCCCGCUGUUCUGACGGUACCCAAAGAAUAAGCACCGGCUAACUUCGUG
rnacentral:rRNA from 1 species